UUGAAUCCUCAGGAUGUUGCUGGCCUUUCGGGGCAUGUGCACUCCGCCUUUUCAAACCCCUGUGAACUUAUUGUAGGCUUCAGACUGUAACAAGUCGGUUGCCUAUGUUUUAUAAAUCACACUACAAAAAAGUAUAUUGAAUGUAUAAUAGUAGGCCUUUAAUGGUCGAAAACAUAAUA
rnacentral:misc_RNA from 1 species